rnacentral:lncRNA from 1 species
AGAAAAAUAUGACUUUUAUUGAUGAAAACAGAGUUAUGCUGAAAUAUCUCUUCCCUUUGAAUGAAAUCGUGGUAGACUUUUAUGACUCUUUGAAGUCUCUGUCUUCCGGAUAUGCAAGGUGAGGAAAUUCUGGUGAUCACAAGCAUCUCAAAGGUUUGAAAAUGGAUGACUGUAAGGUCUUACUCUUCUGCUCUUUUACUAAUUGCAGCUCUUGAAGACAGUUGAGGAUCAUAAGGUUAGGAAGCUUGGAGUGUUAGAGAUAUUACACAGCACUGACAUUUCCUUCUAGGAGGAAAAGGGCUUAUUAUUUGUCAGACUGUUACUCUGAAAGGGAAGUACCCUCAUCAGUAAGAGGUUAUUUAUAGCCCCCAUGGCUUAAGAGUUGUAUAGAAUUUCAAAAAAUAUCUGUGACUGAAUAACACUUAAAUAUCUAUGUAUGUUAAUUGAUUCACAGAGCAUAUACUUAUAAUUGAAAACUGGAUAUAAAUAUUGAGUAUGAAGAAUGCUGAAUAUCUACAGCACUUAACAAUGUUGUGGUCAAGAAUGGGUCCUCCCAGGAAUAUGUGGUCCAUCUAAUCAAAAUCUGUGUAUCUUAAGGGAGUACAUGAAACCUAGCCAAAUAAAAAUACAAGAGUUGAGUGUGAGUAGCAAAAAGCCUUUUAUAGGUUGGGGAUUUAGCUCAGUCGUAGAGCGGUUGCCUAGCAAGCUCAAGGCCCUGGGUUCAGUCCUCAGCUCCAAAAAAAAAAAAGCCUUUUAUACUGUCUUCUGGCUACAAUGGCUUUAUGAGUUAAACAUCUGACUAGCACGGUUGCUUUGACCAUUCUCGUGAUAGCAGCUAACAUGAGUGCUUGUCUCUGGUUGAUAAAGCUUUAACUACUCUGUGUGUACUAGGUUCACGUGUGUUACAUGUCUUUAGGUUCUGACAAAAACUAAUGUUCAAACUACAGAUCUGUGUAGGACACCAGGUGCCCUUUCUUAAUGGCAUUGCCAGUGCAUUAUCUAGCACACUGUCUACAUGUGCUGUCAUUGGCAGUAGAAACCUCAGACAGUGCUAGCUGAGGAGCACCAGCUGGCAACACUACAAAGGAGCUGACAUUUGGUUUGGGUGAUUGAUUUUCCUAGUUUACGUCAGCCACUUCCUUUUCCUUCUUUAUGGAUUUAUAGUCCCUGUACUUGCCCUAAUUUCAAAAUGAAGGUUGAUGCCUUGGUUCUUUACUAUGGACGUAUAUAUCCAGUAAGUGAAACGUUAUGUGUGGUAAUCAUUUUACCCCAUUUCUUCAGGAGAGAGCAGGUAAUGGAGGUUGUAGGGAGAAAGGAGUCUGUUGAGUGUAUUUGACAGUAUCAUGCUUGUCCAUGUUCCAUUGUCCUUGUUAG